GACGAACGCUGGCGGCGUGCUUAACACAUGCAAGUCGAACGAAAAGAGGGAAAGAGCUUGCUCUUUCCGGAAUUGAGUGGCAAACGGGUGAGUAACACGUAAACAACCUGCCUUCAGGAUGGGGACAACAGACGGAAACGACUGCUAAUACCGAAUAAGUUCCAAGAGCCGCAUGGCCCAUGGAAGAAAAGGUGGCCUCUACCUGUAAGCUAUCGCCUGAAGAGGGGUUUGCGUCUGAUUAGCUGGUUGGAGGGGUAACGGCCCACCAAGGCGACGAUCAGUAGCCGGUCUGAGAGGAUGAACGGCCACACUGGAACUGAGACACGGUCCAGACUCCUACGGGAGGCAGCAGUGGGGAAUCUUCCGCAAUGGGCGAAAGCCUGACGGAGCAACGCCGCGUGAGUGAUGACGGCCUUCGGGUUGUAAAACUCUGUGAUCCGGGACGAAAAGGCAGAGUGCGAAGAACAAACUGCAUUGACGGUACCGGAAAAGCAAGCCACGGCUAACCACGUG
rnacentral:rRNA from 1 species